UUACACUCCCUUUUUGACUUAGCUCGUUCCCUAUUACCUUUAUGCUCUUUGCUUUUUCGUGCUUUCAUUCGUUGUUUCUUUCGCCUGUCCGUCGUUCCUUCGUCCAUUUGUCUGUCCGUUCGUACGCUUAAAGCCAACGCAGUUAGUUGCUUUGCCGUCUCUAGCCAAGGGGAAUACGCAGGCUAACAGUCAGCCAGUAGUUAGUGAAAAGAUGCUUUACACUGCAGAUACUCGACUCGAACUGCGGCCUUUGCGAAUUUAGUAUUCAGUUUGACAUUUUUGCUUGGUGCAGCAACACCACAAAAACGGAAGCGCCACAUACAUACAUAUUUUCGAUUGCAAGGAAUAAAUAUGUAACACAAGAAAUACCUGUAACAGAAAAGAGUGUUGUAAAUAAGCUAUUCAGCGGACUCGCAUUUUCGGAAUCGUUAAAAAUUUGCAAUUUAACAUUCGUAAAAUACUAAAUUUUUGUAUCAGUUACUGUGGAGAGAGUGGAGUGAAAACAUAUAGUUUUUCAAAUAGUAAAACGCAAAAUCCAAGUUGAAACCAAAGACCAGCAGAUUGUGGUGUGGUGUGGAAUCUUCCCUAGCGAAGAAGCGAACGUUUGCCGCGCAGGGGCGUGUUGGGCGCUUAGCUGUCUCGAAAGCAUACAUAUUUAACUGUACCUUGCGGAGUGCAACGCAGCAUAAUCUAUAAUCUACAUAUAGCUUCAAGUGCAAAAGUAAAGUGCAAUUUGUGGUUCAAAGCAAAAGAACUGUGGAAAAUUGAGUUCGAUCGAACACUCGCCUUGGAAGAUUAUUCGGUUGAAUGGUGUCGGAAGCGCACUGCAGAGCAGCAAGUAUUUUUUGAAGCUGUGUGGAGCAAUAGAAGGCUUCUUCAGUAUUUUUUUUUUUUUUUUAGAUUUUUAUUGCUUUAAAAUACAACAACUCAGGAUCUUGUUAGUGUUUUUUCUUGUUUUUAAUUAUUGUUCAUGCUUGAGGGAUACUACAAGCGAUUUGUUAAACUUUAAAAGUCCAUAGCUCAGUUAAUACAUCUACGUACAUAUACAUACAAUACAUAAGUCAACUCAGGAUUCCACAGAGGUGGAGCAAGAGCAGAGCUCGGAGUGAAAUAAAAUACCGUAACGGAGCUAGAGCGGUGCGAUGAAAAAAAAAAACGUUUAAAAUGCGCUUCACCCAGGUUGACCAAUCAUUGGAAAAAAUUUGAUGAAAUUAAAAAAAAAACAAUCAAGUAAGCUCUCAAGUUAAUUUCUGCUAUCACUUCUGCUAAAUGGUUUAGCUGAGGGGGUUGUGAAUGUUAAAAAGAAUUUUAAAGAAGUAGGUAUGUAAGUAUGUAUUUACAAAAAUAGAGGCCAUGUGCUGUUGUUCUUGCUUUCACUUUCGUUAACGGCAACUCAUAUUAAAUAUUUCCAUUCGACUAUGACAAAUUCAUGUAAACAUGCAUGAGCAUAUAUAUAUAUAUAUAUAUAUAUAUAUAUAUAUAUAUAUAUAUUUAUGGAUUGGUUUGUUUGUGUGUGUGUGUUAUGUUAUGUGCAUUUUACGAUAGCCGAUAAAAGACAAACGAUUGCCAGUAUCUGAGCCCAGCAGAGGAUAUAUGCGCACUUGCAUUCACCUACUUAAAAUUUCUGCUAUUUUUAUAACCGCGUAGAUAUGUAUGUGCUUUUCACAUACAUAUAUGUACAUAUGUAUAUGUACACACGCAUAUACAUGUAUUUAUUAGUGUGUUUGCAUAGGUAGGCUGAACGGGAAAAUCACCAGCAAAUCGUGCUAAGAGCAACUGGUUUCAGUUGCUGCAUGCAACAUUAACCACACUUCCCAACGCCAGUCUGCUGUAGUAACAACGUUUGUCUACUUGCUACGGCUUGCCUAGGCAAUCAUGUAGGUACUAGACAAUCAAUCGAGCGACCAAACAACAUGUUGACAACGCAGAAGGAAUGAAGCAUACGGCAGGGGAGAGAAGGGACACAAUAACGACCAGUGUGCAACGAGACUGCAAACGAUAAGCCCGACGGACAACAAUGAUAUCCAUCCUCCCCACCACCGCAAACAAAAUCAUGGCGGCACAGUUGGAAACCGACAUCCAGAACGAGACCAAGCCAGUAGUGCAGGCCCAGACUGGCCAGAUGACAAUGCGCGACAAGUACUCGCACAUACAUACAUAUGUACUUAUGUAUGUGUGUACAAAUUUACAUAUCUACUAAGUACAUACAUACAUACAUACGUAUGCAGUGCAACACCAGCGAUGACGUAAUGACAACUACUCCACUAACACAUUUUUCUGCAUUCUUGCAGCAACAGCGGCAACUACAUCCUCAGCCAAAUUCGCCACCGCCGCCGCUGCUGCGCUGCUGCUGCUGCUGCUGCUAGACGCCUAGUUGCAUGCACACAAAUGGCAACAACAAGGGCAGAAAUGGCAAAGUAAAAGAUAGUAGAUGGUAGCAAAUGAAGAAGUAGCAGAGCCGGCAAGAAUACCGGCGGACAGAUGAUAAAAUAUAGCACAAAAACUAAAAUUAAAGCAGAAAGCAGAAGCAACAUUUAUCUAUGUGCAUGUA